rnacentral:pre_miRNA from 1 species
AGCCCAUCAAACCGGGGGGGAUUUCAGUAUGUUUGUGAAGCAUCUGAGAUACGCCCGAUUUGACGAAUU